ensembl:snRNA U6 U6 spliceosomal RNA
GUGCUCACUUUAGUAGAACAUAUAUUAAAGUUGGAACAAUACAGAAAAGCAUGGCCCCACGUAAAUAUGACAAAUUCAUUAAGUAUUCCAUAUUUUU